UCCUGAUCUAACUCAUAUCUGAAAUCUUGUCCCCAGUUAUGUUGUGACAGGAUAAGAAGCCCUGUUCUGCAGGAAGCCAAGGUUUGUUUAUUGUGCUCAAGAAACAUGGAAGACAACAAGGAGUUUUUGGGUUGAGGAAGAAAGGAAGAAAGGUCUCCCUAUGAUCCUGCUAACUUUGUACAGGUUUUGAGAGGCCCAUCUGUGCAGGGACUUCAUUGGUCCUCAUUUGCCUGCUAUCAUAUUGUAGUCUGCACCAGACCUCAGACCUGCAAUACUGCAAGAAAUAGAAGUACAGUGAUUGUCUCCACUUACAGUCAGUGGCUAUCAAUGAAUGUUGCACUUUGAAUGAAUUCAGAGUAAACUGGCAGAAAUUUUAAGCGUGGACGACUGAACUGCAGCAAAUGCUCAGCACACAGUGCCUCACCUGAGCAAAUCCAUGGUGCUACGGCUUUUCAAUUCACUGAGUUUCUGUAUCAGUUUUCUCCAGCUAUCUGCUGCACCUCAGUACAUGGGAGUAUUGGACCCUCCUGAUCUGCCUGUGUGUGCUCUUCAGGAGGGCUUUUGCCUUCACUGCAGUAGAAAAGAGAAGUGAAAACAUGAUCAUAAAUCCUUAUGUGAGCAGUGGCUUUGAGUGUCUGCCUUCAGCAAUGGGACCUCUGGAACUAAGCCCUUAAUUUAAGGUCUGAAAUGAAAUCCUAACAAGUUGCUGUGAAGCUUUAUGAUCCUUUGAAAUCAAUGGCCCAAAUCCUGUUAAUUGCAGUGGAUCCGGGCUUGGGCUUAAGGUCUUUCUGCUACUUGCAUCCUUAAAAUGCUAAAGAC
ensembl:lncRNA